UCUUCGGGUUGGACUCAUCCCAUCCAUGCCUGGGCUCUGUGGAACAAGCAUGGAGAAGGAGUGGGGAUUACUUGGCUUUCUUGUUCUGUCAUUAAGUUUUCUUGUCAGCAAUGGCCAAAACAUUGUCUGUGCACAGAACACAGUGGCUGACAUUGUAUUCCUGGUGGAUGGCUCAAACAGUAUUGGGCCGGCGAACUUCCUACAAAUCCGUGAAUUCCUCUCCUCGCU